rnacentral:rRNA from 1 species
UACGUAGGGGGCAAGCGUUGUCCGGAAUCAUUGGGCGUAAAGAGCGUGUAGGCGGCCAGGUAGGUCUGCUGUGAAAACUCGAGGCUUAACCUCGAGCUGUCGGCGGAAACCAUCUGGCUAGAGUCCGGAAGAGGAGAAUGGAAUUCCCGGUGUAGCGGUGAAAUGCGCAGAUAUCGGGAAGAACACCCGUGGCGAAGGCGGUUCUCUGGGACGGUACUGACGCUGAGACGCGAAAGCGUGGGGAGCGAACAGG